rnacentral:rRNA from 1 species
UACGUAGGGGGCUAGCGUUGUCCGGAAUCAUUGGGCGUAAAGCGCGUGUAGGCGGCCCGGUAAGUCCGCUCUGAAAGUCGGGGGCUCAACCCUCGGAUGCGGGUGGAUACUGUCGGGCUUGAGUGCGGAAGAGGCGAGUGGAAUUCCUGGUGUAGCGGUGAAAUGCGUAGAUACCGGGAAGAACACCAACGGCGAAAGCACUCUGCUGGGCCGAAAAACUGACACUGAUAGACGAAAGCUAGGGGAGCAAAUGGG